rnacentral:rRNA from 1 species
GACGAACCGUGCGAACGUUAUUCGGAAUCAUUGGGCUUAAAGGGCGCGUAGGCGGCGGCGUAAGUUGGAAGUGAAAUCCCAUCGGCUCAACCGUGGAAUUGCUCCCAGUACUGCGUCGCUCGAGGGGGAUAGGGGUCUGCGGAACUACCGGUGGAGCGGUGAAAUGCGCAGAUAUCAGGAAGAACACCCGUGGCGAAGGCGGCUCUCUGGGACGGUACUGACGCUGAGACGCGAAAGCGUGGGGAGCGAACAGG